GCAAAAGAUAGCUAUAGUAUAUGGAAUAUUAUCAAUUCUGCAAAAUGAACGAUAUAAACAAAAUCAAAUAAUAAACCAAAAUACAAUAGGCAUGAAAUAUAUACCAGCUGCUAAAACACGUAAAGAACUUUCACAAAUUCCAAAGUAAAAAUGCAAUCCACAGUGUCAGCGCUUAGUAGAUAUAUCCCUGUGAGCAGUGGCGUAC